CAAUAGCGUAUAUUAAAGUUGUUGCUGUUAAAAAGCUCGUAGUUGAAUUUUUGCUUGCCGCCGAUGUCGGAACUUCCGUACGUUCGGCGGCGUGCAUCCUUGGGUGGAACCUGUGUGGCAUUAGGUUGUCGUGCAGGGGAUGCUCAUCGUUUACUGUGAAAAAAUUAGAGUGUUCAAAGCAGGCUUACGCCGUUGAAUAUAUUAGCAUGGAAUAAUAAGAUAGGACCUUGGUACUAUUUUGUUGGUUUGCGCACCGAGGUAAUGAUUAACAGGGACAGUUGGGGGUAUUCGUAUUCCAUUGUCAGAGGUGAAAUUCUUGGAUUUCUGGAAGACGAACUACUGCGAAAGCAUUUACCAAGGAUGUUUUCAUUAA
rnacentral:rRNA from 1 species